rnacentral:rRNA from 1 species
UACGUAGGGUGCAAGCGUUGUCCGGAAUUAUUGGGCGUAAAGAGCUCGUAGGCGGUUUGUCACGUCUGCUGUGAAAACUCGGGGCUUAACUCCGGGCCUGCAGUGGGUACGGGCAGACUAGGGUGCGGUAGGGGAGACUGGAAUUCCUGGUGUAGCGGUGAAAUGCGCAGAUAUCAGGAGGAACACCGGUGGCGAAGGCGGGUCUCUGGGCCGUAACUGACGCUGAGGAGCGAAAGCGUGGGGAGCAAACAGG